rnacentral:rRNA from 1 species
UCAAGUUAUUAAGGGUGCAGGGCGGAUGCCUUGGCACUAGGAGCCGAUGAAGGACGUGAUAAGCUGCGAUAAGCUUCGGGGAGUUGCACGUAAACUUUGAUCCGAAGAUUUCCGAAUGAGGAAACUCACUUAGAGUAAUGUCUAAGUAUCAUUAAGUGAAUACAUAGCUUAAUGAGGGGAACUCAGGGAACUGAAACAUCUAAGUACCUGAAGGAAGAGAAAGAAAUUCGAUUCCGUAAGUAGCGGCGAGCGAACGCGGAUUAGCCCAAACCAAUAAAGUUUUCUUUAUUGGGGUUGCGGACAUAUCAUAACGGAGAGGUAUCGUAAUUGAAGAGGUUUGGAAAGACCCACCACAGAAGGUAAUAGUCCUGUAUGUUAAACGAGAAGACUUUAGAUAUGAUCCAGAGUACCACGGGACACGUGAAACCCUGUGGGAAGCAGGAGGGACCACCCUCCAAGGCUAAAUACUACCUAGUGACCGAUAGCGUAUAGUACCGUGAGGGAAAGGUGAAAAGAACCCCGGGAGGGGAGUGAAAUAGAACCUGAAACCCUGCACUUACAAGCUGUGGAAGCACAUUUCUUGUGUGACCGCGUACUUUUUGUAGAACGGGCCAACGAGUUACGUUAAGUAGCAAGGUUAAGCACUUAAGGUGUGGAGCCGUAGCGAAAGCGAGUUUUAACUGAGCGUUCAGUUACUUGACGUAGACCCGAAACCGGGCGACCUACCCAUGAGCAGGAUGAAGCGAAAGUAAAAUUUCGUGGAGGUCCGAACCCACGAGCGUUGAAAAGCUCGGGGAUGACUUGUGGGUAGCGGUGAAAUUCCAAUCGAGCCCGGAGAUAGCUGGUUCUCCCCGAAAUAGCUUUAGGGCUAGCCUCAAGGUGAGAGAUACGGAGGUAGAGCACUGAAUGUCCUAGGGGGUAUUGCACCUACCGAAGACUAUCAAACUCCGAAUGCCGUCAUCUUAUACUUGGGAGUCAGACUGUGGGUGAUAAGAUUCAUAGUCGAAAGGGCAACAGCCCAGAUCGUCAGCUAAGGUCCCUAAAUGUAAGUUAAGUGGUAAAGGAUGUGGGAUUGCACAGACAACCAGGAUGUUGGCUUAGAAGCAGCCACUCAUUCAAAGAGUGCGUAAUAGCUCACUGGUCGAGUGAUCCUGCGCCGAAGAUUUCCGGGGCUAAAACUUACUACCGAAGCUACGGCAUCAGUAAUGAUGGGUAGGGGAGCUUCCCAUACGGGUUGAAGCAUGACCGUAAGGACAUGUGGACAGUAUGGGAGUGAGAAUGUUGGCAUGAGUAGCGAGAUGUGGGUGAGAAUCCCACAGGCCGUAAACCCAAGGUUUCCAGGGGAAGGUUCGUCCGCCCUGGGUUAGUCGGGACCUAAGCUGAGGCCGAAAGGCGUAGGUGAUGGACAACAGGUUGAUAUUCCUGUACUACCGAUAACCGUUUGAGAGAAGGGAUGACACAGUAGGAUAAGCUAAGCACACUGUUGGUUAUGUGUGCCCAAGCAUUGAGGCAGUCAAAGUAGGCAAAUCCGCUUUGAUAAUGCUGGGAUGUGAUGGGGAGCGAAAUUUAGUAGCGAAGUAGCUGAUUUCACACUGUCAAGAAAAGUCUCUAUCGAGGUUAAAGGUACCCGUACCGCAAACCGACACAGGUGGGUGAGGAGAGUAUCCUAAGGCCAGCGAGAGAACUGUUGUUAAGGAACUCGGCAAAAUGACCCCGUAACUUAGGGAUAAGGGGUGCCACCAUCAGGUGGCCGCAGAGAAUAGGCCCAAGCGACUGUUUACCAAAAACAUAGGUUUCUGCUAAGUCGCAAGACGAUGUAUAGGAGCUGACGCCUGCCCGGUGCUGGAAGGUUAAGGGGAUCUGUUAGAGCAAUCGAAGCAGUGAACUUAAGCCCCAGUAAACGGCGGCCGUAACUAUAACGGUCCUAAGGUAGCGAAAUUCCUUGUCGGGUAAGUUCCGACCCGCACGAAAGGCGUAACGAUUUGGGCACUGUCUCAACAACAGACUCGGUGAAAUUGUAAUUCCGGUGAAGAUGCCGGAUACCUGCGACAGGACGGAAAGACCCCAUGGAGCUUUACUGUAGCUUGACAUUGGGUCUUGGUACUACAUGUACAGGAUAGGUGGGAGGCUUUGAAACCAGGACGCCAGUUUUGGCGGAGCCAUCCUUGGGAUACCACCCUUGUAGUACUGGGACUCUAACCAUAGGCCAUGAAUCUGGUCUUGGGACACUGUCAGGUGGGCAGUUUGACUGGGGCGGUCGCCUCCCAAAAGGUAACGGAGGCGCUCAAAGGUUCUCUCAGUACGGUCGGAAAUCGUACGUAGAGUGUAAAGGCAAAAGAGAGCUUGAUUGCAAGACAUACAGGUCGAGCAAGGAUGAAAAUCGGACUUAGUGAUCCGGUGGUUCUGCGUGGAAGGGCCAUCGCUCAACGGAUAAAAGCUACCCUGGGGAUAACAGGCUUAUCUCCCCCAAGAGUCCACAUCGACGGGGAGGUUUGGCACCUCGAUGUCGGCUCAUCACAUCCUGGGGCUGUAGUAGGUCCCAAGGGUUGGGCUGUUCGCCCAUUAAAGUGGUACGCGAGCUGGGUUCAGAACGUCGUGAGACAGUUCGGUCCCUAUCCGUCGCAGGCGUAGGAAAUUUGAGAAGACCUGUCCUUAGUACGAGAGGACCGGGAUGGACGUACCUCUGGUGUACCAGUUGUUCUGCCAAGGGCAUGGCUGGGUAGCUAUGUACGGAAUGGAUAAGCGCUGAAAGCAUCUAAGCGCGAAGCCAACUUCAAGAUAAGAUUUCCCACCGCAAGGGUAAGACCCCAGAAAGACUAUCUGGUUGAUAGGUCGAAGGUGUAAGUGCAGCAAUGUAUUUAGCUUAUCGAUACUAAUAGGUCGAGGACUUGACCAA